rnacentral:rRNA from 1 species
UACGUAGGGGGCUAGCGUUAUCCGGAAUUACUGGGCGUAAAGGGUGCGUAGGUGGUUUCUUAAGUCAGAGGUGAAAGGCUACGGCUCAACCGUAGUAAGCCUUUGAAACUGGGAAACUUGAGUGCAGGAGAGGGAAGUGGAAUUCCAUGUGUAGCGGUGAAAUGCGUAGAGAUAUGGAGGAACACCAGUGGCGAAGGCGGCUUCCUGGUCUGUAACUGACGCUGAGGAGCGAAAGCUAGGGGAGCAAAACGGGAUUAGAUACCCCGGUAGUCCCUGAGCGGGCUGG